AGAUUGAACGCUAGCGGGAUGCUUACACAUGCAAGUCGAACGGCAGCGCGGACUUCGGUCUGGCGGCGAGUGGCGAACGGGUGAGUAAUAUAUCGGAACGUGCCCAGUAGCGGGGGAUAACUACGCGAAAGCGUGGCUAAUACCGCAUACGCCCUACGGGGGGAAAGGGGGGGAGUUCUUUCGAGAACCUCUCACUAUUGGAGCGGCCGAUAUCAGAUUAGCUAGUUGGUGAGGUAAAGGCUCACCAAGGCACGAUCUGUAGCUGGUUUGAGAGGACGACCAGCCACACUGGGACUGAGACACCGGCCCAGACUCCGUACGGGAGGCAGCGAGUGGGAAUUUGGACAAGUGGGGAAACCUGAUCCAGCCCAUCCCGCGUGUCGCGAUGAAGGUCCGUUCGGGUGUUAAAGCUACUUUUGCGAGGAAGAAACGGACGCCGCUAACG
rnacentral:rRNA from 1 species